GACGAACCGUGCGAACGUUGUUCGGAUUCACUGGGCUUAAAGGGCGCGUAGGCGGGUGAUCAAGUCCGGGGUGAAAUCCUUCAGCUCAACUGGAGAAUAGCCUUGGAUACUGGUCGCCUCGAGGGAGGUAGGGGCGGGCGGAACUUCCGGUGGAGCGGUGAAAUGCGCAGAUAUCAGGAGGAACACCUGCGGCGAAGGCGGGUUGCUGGGCUGAUACUGACGCUGAGGCGCGAAAGCCAGGGGAGCGAACGGG
rnacentral:rRNA from 1 species